CAAUAGCGUAUAUUAAAGUUGUUGCGGUUAAAAAGCUCGUAGUUGGAUUUCUGCCGAGGACGACCGGUCCGCCCUCCGGGUGAGUAUCUGGUUUGGCCUGGGCAUCUUCUUGGAGAACGUAGCUGCACUUGACUGUGUGGUGCGGUGUCCAGGACUUUUACUUUGAGGAAAUUAGAGUGUUUCAAGCAGGCACACGCCUUGAAUACAUUAGCAUGGAAUAACACGAUAGGACUCUGGCUUAUCUUGUUGGUCUGUGAGACCAGAGUAAUGAUUAAGAGGGACAGUCGGGGGCAUUCGUAUUUCAUUGUCAGAGGUGAAAUUCUUGGAUUUAUGAAAGACGAACUUCUGCGAAAGCAUUUGUCAAGGAUGUUUUCAUUAA
rnacentral:rRNA from 1 species